rnacentral:rRNA from 1 species
CCUACGGGUGGCAGCAGUGGGGAAUAUUGCACAAUGGGGGAAACCCUGAUGCAGCCACGCAGCGUGAGUGAAGAAGUACUUCGGUAUGGAAAGCUCUAUCAGCAGGGAAGAAGAUGACGGUACCUGAAUAAGAAGCCACGGCUAACUAAGUGCCAGCAGGCGCGGUGAUACGUAGGGGGCAAGCGUUAUCCGGAUUUACUGGGUGUAAAGGGAGCGCAGACGGCAGUGCAAGUCUGGAGUGAAAGCCCGGGGCUCAACCCCGGAAUUGCACUGGAAACUGUGAGGCUAGAGUACUGGAGGGGCAGGCGGAAUUCCUGGUGUAGCGGUGAAAUGCGUAGAUAUUACGAGGAACCCCAGUGGCGAAGGCGGCCUGCUGGACAGUAACUGACGUUGAGGCUCGAAAGCGUGGGGAGCAAACAGGAUUAGAUACCCCGGUAGUC